rnacentral:lncRNA from 1 species
CUGAUCACCACCGGUCAGCGCACCCCUUUAUUAGAAGUAAGCACCCUGGAAUUUACCUUUUCUUGCUUUAAUUAAAUGGACAAAAAUUUGAGCUUGAGAAUUUUCGGGCAUUGAAAGCGUUUGUUGACAUAUGAACUAAAGGAAACAUCAAUAUGAAGAAAAAAAUCAUGUCGGUAAUAUAGCUAGAGCUCGUCUACAGUACAACCAAAACUUGUUUGCUUUAUUCUUGAGCUCGCGCAUGGCAACGACAGUCGAGCGACCUUAAUUACAGUAAACAUUCAACUUAAGUGUUUUAGCUCAGCCCCCACAACGUCGAGCUGUUGCAGUGAUUCUCAAGAAUGAGCACAGCAGAAUAGUUGAAUAGAUUAACACGUAGUUGCUUAGUAUAUUUUCAUGAAUUCCGACAAAUUUUUCAAUUCUUUAAAACUCA